rnacentral:lncRNA from 1 species
CAUAUGUUCAAGGCGUAACAACCGAAGGGUUGGGAUCAUUUGGGUAAAAUCCCCAGUUACCUCGAAACGAACAAAAUACUCCAUUUCCAAUUAUAAACUUGGGUAGGGAUGAUUACCAGUUCUGGGUAGGUCCUAGAAAAGAGAGGAGAAAAGGAAUAAGAUCCCUUUUGAGGGUUCGUUGUAUUUCCCAAUGGCAUGGGACGGUACAUUGAACGGAAUGACUCCAACAAAA